rnacentral:tRNA from 1 species
UGCCGUGAUAGCUCAGUCCGGGAGAGCGCUGCCCUGAAGAGGCAGUUGUCCCCGGUUCAAAUCCGGGUCACGGCAUC